AGAGUUUGAUCAUGGCUCAGAACGAACGCUGGCGGCAUGCCUAACACAUGCAAGUCGAACGAAGCCUUCGGGCUUAGUGGCGCACGGGUGCGUAACGCGUGGGAAUCUGCCCCUCGGUUCGGAAUAACAGUUAGAAAUGACUGCUAAUACCGGAUGAUGACGAAAGUCCAAAGAUUUAUCGCCGAGGGAUGAGCCCGCGUAGGAUUAGCUUGUUGGUGGGGUAAUGGCCCACCAAGGCGACGAUCCUUAGCUGGUCUGAGAGGAUGAUCAGCCACACUGGGACUGAGACACGGCCCAGACUCCUACGGGAGGCAGCAGUGGGGAAUAUUGGACAAUGGGCGAAAGCCUGAUCCAGCAAUGCCGCGUGAGUGAUGAAGGCCUUAGGGUUGUAAAGCUCUUUUACCAGGGAUGAUAAUGACAGUACCUGGAGAAUAAGCUCCGGCUAACUCCGUG
rnacentral:rRNA from 1 species